rnacentral:misc_RNA from 1 species
GGCAAAUGGUACAUUGGUUCGUGUGCUCAUACAUACUGAUGUUACAAAGUAUCUCUCCUUCAAAGCUGUGGAUGGAAGCUAUGUCUUCAAUAAAGGAAAGGUUCACAAGGUUCCUGCAACUGACAUUGAAGCACUGAAGUCUCCUUUGAUGGGUUUGUUUGAAAAGCGCAGAGCUAGAAAGUUCUUUAUAUAUGUCCAAGAUUACGAGGAAAAUGACCCCACAAAACACGGGGGAUUUGACCUCACCAG